rnacentral:rRNA from 1 species
AACGAACGCUGGCGGCAGGCUUAACACAUGCAAGUCGAGCGCCCCGCAAGGGGAGCGGCAGACGGGUGAGUAACGCGUGGGAACCUACCCUUUUCUACGGAAUAACGCAUGGAAACGUGUGCCAAUACCGUAUACGCCCUACGGGGGAAAGAUUUAUCGGAGAAGGCAGGGCCCGCGUUGGAUUAGCUAGUUGGUGGGGUAAAGGCCUACCAAGGCGACGAUCCAUAGCUGGUCUGAGAGGAUGAUCAGCCACAUUGGGACUGAGACACGGCCCAAACUCCUACGGGAGGCAGCAGUGGGGAAUAUUGGACAAUGGGCGCAAGCCUGAUCCAGCCAUGCCGCGUGAGUGAUGAAGGCCCUAGGGUUGUAAAGCUCUUUCACCGGAGAAGAUAAUGACGGUAUCCGGAGAAGAAGCCCCGGCUAACUUCGUGCCAGCCGCCGCUGUAAUAC